UACGGAGGGUGCAAGCGUUAUCCGGAAUUACUGGGCGUAAAGCGUGCGCAGGCGGUUGUGCAAGACAGAUGUGAAAUCCCCGGGCUCAACCUGGGAAUUGCAUUUGUGACUGCACGGCUAGAGUGUGUCAGAGGGGGGUAGAAUUCCACGUGUAGCAGUGAAAUGCGUAGAGAUGUGGAGGAAUACCGAUGGCGAAGGCAGCCCCCUGGGAUAACACUGACGCUCAUGCACGAAAGCGUGGGGAGCAAACAGG
rnacentral:rRNA from 1 species